AGAAAAGCUUCGACGAGGAGGAGUACAUGUAUUUCGAAAGCCUAGAGAGGAAAUGAUGGUGAAAAUUUUCCCUGAGGAAUAUAUGGAAGGUAGCCUUUGAGCUUUGGACCGAAAUUGCAAAAAAGUAGACUUCAACGGAUUCCCACCGUUACAGGGGAAAUAGUAUCGGAGUGAUUCCUGUACUAUCAUUGAGCUGUAUACUUUGUAUAAAAUUAGGUGGUACCGCGGAGUUUAACCUUCGUCCUAUUA
rnacentral:ncRNA from 1 species